AACGCACAUUGCGCCCCUUGUUACAGAGGGGCAUGCCUGUCUGAGUGUCUUUUAAACCAUAGACUUUUGUCUGUUUUGGGCUUCGCGCCUCUGCGUAGCCUCAAAGUCAUUGCUGUCGAGCGGAUGAGAUCCAUUAGGAUGAUGCCGUUUUGACUCUAGCCCUUCUCUGACAGACCUCAGAUCAGGUAGGACUACCGCCUGAACUUAA
rnacentral:misc_RNA from 1 species